rnacentral:rRNA from 1 species
GAACGGUAGCACAGAGAGCUUGCUCUUGGGUGACGAGUGGCGGACGGGUGAGUAAUGUCUGGGAAACUGCCCGAUGGAGGGGGAUAACUACUGGAAACGGUAGCUAAUACCGCAUAACGUCUUCGGACCAAAGUGGGGGACCUUCGGGCCUCACACCAUCGGAUGUGCCCAGAUGGGAUUAGCUAGUAGGUGGGGUAAUGGCUCACCUAGGCGACGAUCCCUAGCUGGUCUGAGAGGAUGACCAGCCACACUGGAACUGAGACACGGUCCAGACUCCUACGGGAGGCAGCAGUGGGGAAUAUUGCACAAUGGGCGCAAGCCUGAUGCAGCCAUGCCGCGUGUAUGAAGAAGGCCUUCGGGUUGUAAAGUACUUUCAGUGGGGAGGAAGGCGUUAAGGUUAAUAACCUUGGCGAUUGACGUUACCCGCAGAAGAAGCACCGGCUAACUCCGUG